UGGGGAAUAUUGCACAAUGGGCGCAAGCCUGAUGCAGCCAUGCCGCGUGUGUGAAGAAGGCCUUCGGGUUGUAAAGCACUUUCAGCGAGGAGGAAGGUGGUGAGCUUAAUACGCUCAUCAAUUGACGUUACUCGCAGAAGAAGCACCGGCUAACUCCGUGCCAGCAGCCGCGGUAAUACGGAGGGUGCAAGCGUUAAUCGGAAUUACUGGGCGUAAAGCGCACGCAGGCGGUUUGUUAAGUCAGAUGUGGAAUCCCCGGGCUCAACCUGGGAACUGCAUUUGAAACUGGCAAGCUAGAGUCUCGUAGAGGGGGGUAGAAUUCCAGGUGUAGCGGUGAAAUGCGUAGAGAUCUGGAGGAAUACCGGUGGCGAAGGCGGCCCCCUGGACGAAGACUGACGCUCAGGUGCGAAAGCGUGGGGCAGCAAACAGGAUUAGAUACCCUGGUAGUCCACGCUGUAAACGAUGUCGAUUUUGGAGGUUGUGCCCUUGAGGCGUGGCUUCCGGAGCUAACGCGUUAAAUCGACCGCCU
rnacentral:rRNA from 1 species